AUACUUACCUGGCAGGGGAGAUACCAUGAUCAAGAAGGUGGUUCACCCAGGGCGAGGCUUAACCAUUGCACUCCGGUUAUGCUGACCUGACCCGUGCGAAUUCCCCAAAUGUGGGAAUCUCGACUGCAUAAUUUGUGGUAGUGGGGACUGCGUUCGCGCUCUCCCCU